GCCUCCUUAGCUCAGUUGGUUAGAGCGGCGGACUGUUAAUCCGUAGGUCCCAGGUUCAAGUCCUGGAGGGGGCGCCA
rnacentral:tRNA from 1 species